rnacentral:lncRNA from 1 species
GGGGCGGGGCGAGCAGGCACACGGAGCCAGGCAGGUGAGAAUCCUCCAGAAAGGCAGUGUGGGAAGGUGUCCCUGCUGUGCCCCUCAGCCUGGGUGACAGGACCCCCGUCAGGACAUGAGGUGAGACCCGAGUUGGGCUGUGGAGGGCACCCUGGGAUGGAGUGUACUGCCCUGGGGGCCACAUCUGCCGCCAUGCCGCUGUUGUCCUGUCUGCCCGGGGUGGGACCCUCGACUCACGGGGGCCACUGGGGCUGUGGGGGCUGUGUCAGGUCUGCUGGGUGAGUUGUCCAUGCAGGGGACACAGGAUGAGCAUGGCACUGGCCAGCUGGGCUGGGACCCUGCACUGAGAGUGAGUGGGAACCAGCACAAUACACAGUGACCACACUGGCCUUUUGUGAGAGGAUGCCAAGUACCCAUGGUGGGGGGACCUCCUCCCCUGUGAAAGGGGAGAGCAUGGAAGGUGUGGCAAGCCCUGAAAGCAGCUGACAAUGACUCUUAGGAGCAGGGAUUCAGACCAGGACGACAUACAGCUGCAGGAUAGAAGCUGACAGUCACGCCAGGUGUCAUGCACUGAGCGGUGGGCACUGGGCUGACACUGGAGCUGGCGUGUUUGAGGCAAAGCCCUGGUCUCAUCCCCCUACCUUCCCAGAUUGGCCAUGAGAACCCUGUCACGCCUAGGGCAUCUGCUUGAGGCAGCUUCAGCCGAAGGGCUGGCCAGAGAACUCCAGAUAGCAAGAGGGAUGCAAGAUGCCAGCCUGGACGACACACGUGCCCCAGGUGUGAAAGGCAAGAGGAGCCGAACACAGGAGGAAAGAGGCAGGGGGACCUGCCUGAGGCAGAGUCAGGACCCAGGUAGCCCCAGCCCAGGGUGCCCACGGGGAGCCGGGCUGGCCCAGGAAGCUCAAGGUGGCACCGUCUUGCUAGUCCUGGGCCCGACUUGGGGCGACUGCAACAGUUUCGGGACAGGGCCCGCCACCCUGCCCCACACUGCCCAACUAGUCAGUUCUGUCGACCCCAGGCCUCACCCCCUGCACCCCCCCCCCCCCC